rnacentral:misc_RNA from 1 species
CAGCAGCACCAGCAGCAACCACAGCUUCUCGACCCAAUUAAUAGCAUUCUCAACCUCGGGGCCUGUGCUUGGGGACAAUGAUUGGGACUUGGGAUGAAUUAGUUGAUAGCCUUUAUCAAGCAAUCUGUCUGAGAAGUGUUUACAGAGCGGUGCAAAUAAGUUACUGGUUACUCAUAGUAGGUUGGACGUGCGAAUAGUUUAGAGAGAGGUGUAUUUUGUCUAGCAAACAUGCUUCUAAAUUAAAUAAGACUACAUGUGUUGAA